ensembl:lncRNA
CCCCGCGCCCUGGUCCGCUGGAGGGGCUACGCGCACCGUGCCGCCUCGCCCUGCGAAUCCCAGGGACCCCAGUGCGGUAUAAGCGCGGGAAGCAGGCGAGGGACCCGUUAGACGUGGAGUGGGGACGGAGUGGGGGGCGACAGACUGGGCUGGGAAAUUGCUAACCUGUCCCCGGAGACUGCUUUCUGAGAGCCCUGUCCCUUCCCCGGAAGAGGCCAAUUCCAGAGGGAGGUGAGUUUCCAAAGGAACCCUAGCCCAGAGGCGUCACCCUAGCCACUCAGUGACAGAACCCGGGACCCUGUGCAGAGGGGUCGGUAGUUGGGCGAGGUAGUCAAAGUGCUAUGGGGCGUGAAAAGACCGCUUCCUAAGAGCUGGGGUACAGAAAAAGGAGCUGGGGGAAGUAGGUGAGAAGAGAGACCACGUGGGUCCCUCAGCGCCUGCGUCGGGUGGCUGAGCCGGGCGCGGGUUGGAUUUGGGGGACAGUGCCCUCCACGUAGGGGAAGGCUCGUGGUCUCAGGAUCCGGGGUGAGGAAAGGCAGGUCUGAGGUGCCUGACUUGGUGUUGAGGACCGCGACUCCUUCCUCUUUCCCCCCAAAUCCCUUAGAUGACAGCAGGCGCCCGCCCCGGACAAUCUGAUUCUGGGCAGGGCGCAGCGGGGCUGGCAGGCGCCCGGGGAGGCAGGGAAGUUGCUUCCAAGGACUGGCCGCCCUCAACCUCCUUUAACACACAGCCGGGUGCAGCAGGGCAGCGGCGGACAUUUGUUUCCCAACUCUGGUCAAUGUGAAAGCAGCAACCCGUGCGUCCUGGACCCCAAGGUGGCUGUGUACCGUCGAGGUUUCUAACACUGCUUCCUUGGCAAAAGCGAUAACAAUACCGUGUAUCGGGAUGAGACUAAAGCCAGACGGCAACAACACAGCACACUUUCCCGGGCAGCGCCAGUGCGAGGUGCUUUGAAAGCACACGAGGCAACCCCGGAGGCCGAAGUGGAAGGGUCUCGCCCCGUGGGGCUGCUACCCUGUCUCAUCAUCGCUCCUUGGAGCCCUCCACUGACGAAUGUGAACCAAGAGGAGUGAUCAAAAAGAAAGCCAAAUGUCUUCUAUGCCACCAACCACUUCCACUGCACACUAUUGGUUACAAGUGAGUCACUAUAUCUAGCUCACUCUCAAGACCAGGAGAAGGGAACUCUGCUACUUGAAAGAAGUGCUGUCAAGGAAUUCGUGGAAUCAUUAUUCACACCACAUUCUUAAAUGUUUUAUAAUCCCUCCAGAAGCUUCUGCAGCUAGGAUAAAACAUUAAGAUAACUUAACCUUAUCUUACCAAGUCAAGAAUUGUCCAUGUCUUCUAUAACCUGUCAUUCUCUCUUUUUAUCUAAUUACAAUUAUCAGACAGUAAUAUAUACCAAAAUAAAUGGAUGUAUAACCCAAUAAUGGAGUCAAAUCUCUUUAAUUAUCAUAAAAGUUCUAUUUCCACAGAAACUUUAAUUUUUUUAUAUGAAAGUUCUCAGUGAUGAUUUAAAACAAAUCAAUACAUAAGAAAAAUUACAACAAAAUGAAAUAUGUCAGCAAAAUCUCUGACACUAGUCAGUCCUGAUGUCCUUAGUUUGGAUUAAGGCUCCAUUGGCCCUAGAGAAUGCCAACCUUUGACAUCUACUGACAAUUUGACACUCAGGAACUUUGCUGAAUUCAUGUAGGAUUUGGGCCACAAAAACAAUAGCUCCCUCUUUGGUCUGAGGAUUAAAAAUAAGUUUCUUGUGAAUUUCUUUAAACAAACUAGUUCUGAUCAUGGCCUGAUUCUUGUUCUAAGUGACUUUCCUGCAGGACUUAGGAUUUAAAAUCCUAGAAUUACCGGG